rnacentral:sRNA from 1 species
UGUGGUGAAUCCCCCUAAGCGGUGGGGCGACUAGACUGGGAGGUGAAUGACGCGAUUCUGUGGUCUAGCAUAGAGUCACCGGGAGGCACCCGGCACUACAGUUCCAUUACCACAGUUUUUAAGGCUGCCGUUUGGCGGCCUUUUUG